UACGUAGGGUGCAAGCGUUAAUCGGAAUUACUGGGCGUAAAGCGUGCGCAGGCGGUUAUGUAAGACAGGUGUGAAAUCCCAGGGCUUAACCUUGGAACUGCAUUUGUGACUGCAUAGCUAGAGUACGGUAGAGGGGGAUGGAAUUCCGCGUGUAGCAGUGAAAUGCGUAGAUAUGCGGAGGAACACCGAUGGCGAAGGCAGCCCCCUGGGUCAAGAUUGACGCUCAUGCACGAAAGCGUGGGGAGCAAACAGG
rnacentral:rRNA from 1 species